GAUGAUUUAGCUUAUAAAAAGUGUGGCUUUGAAGAGGCUAAGAAGAAAAUUUUUCAGUCAUC
rnacentral:tRNA from 1 species